CCUACGGGUGACAGCAGUGAGGAAUAUUGGUCAAUGGGCGCGAGCCUGAUCCAGCCAAGUCGCGUGAGGGAAGACGGUCCUAUGGAUUGUAAACCUCUUUUGUCGGGGAGCAAAAGACGCCACGCGUGGCGUUCAGAGAGUACCCGAAGAAAAAGCAUCGGCCCACACCGUGCCAGCAGCCGCGGUAAUACGGAGGAUGCGAGCGUUAUCCGGAUUUGUUGGGUUUAAGGGGUGCGCAGGCGGAAGAUCAAGUCAGCGGUAAAAUUGAGAGGCUCACCCUCUUCGAGCCGUUGAAACUGGUUUUCUUGAGUGAUCUAGAAGUAUGCGGAAUGCGUGGUGUAGCGGUGAAAUGCAUAGAUAUCACGCAGAACUCCGAUUGCGAAGGCAGCAUACCGGCGCUCAACUGACGCUCAUGCACGAAAGUGUGGGUAUCGAACAGGAUUAGAUACCCCAGUAGUC
rnacentral:rRNA from 1 species